CGCCGUCACGUGGGCUCCUCCUCCGUGACGUCGGCGUCUUCGCUGUAGCAAAGCUCGGCCUCUGGAAUUCUGAGAACUAAUUUGCUAUUCGGUGACAUAAGAGGGGGAGUGCGCUUCGCUUUCCCGGGGUCUGGGGCUAAUUCUUCCUCUCCUACCCAUAAACUCGGCUCCUCGAGCUAAAUACACAAAAGGGAGCGAGAGAUUUUUGAGCCGUUGGAACAAGUAUGUUAGAGGCAGGUUUAGAGAGGCGAGUGAAAGAGAAAACAAUAAAUACCACAGCUCCUUCCAGCUAGAAUAUUAGGCACCACGAGAAAAAUAUUUGCCAAGCAGUUUUCGGAAAGAAAGUCGUUCCCGGUUUUUUAGCAAUGCUCUCUACCAACUUUCCGUCACUUAGACCAUGUGAAUACCAGACCUGUGUGUAAGGAGGAGUGAAGCCAGUUAUAUUCCUUCAGCCCAAGACCAUUGAGAACUAUGCUAAGAGUGGGAGAGUCCUUCCCAUUACCCAAGCCAGUGUCCCUGAUCUUCUGUGACUAGAAGCUGAGCCUCGGACAGAAUGCAUUCACCGUGUACAUUGUCACAGAGUUGGACUCAAAGCACGUGCUCAGACCCUGAACUCUACGCUUACUGCAGUGUUCAUUAGAGAAAGCAGGGAUGGCGUGGGCAGUCCGGUGUACAAAAGCUAUUUCACGUGUCAGCAUUAGUGGCGUUCUGUUAAUGGUGUGCCCACAAGCCUGAAAGAAGGCCAUAAUGCACAGGCCGUAUGUUCAGGACCAUAGAGUUACACAGUACCGUGAUUUGCUACUCUGAACAAGUCUGCGGUGUCUUAUGAAAAGGCAGCUGCAUCACAACCCUGUGCGCGUUGGUCUUUAAAAUGUAAGAUCUGAACUGUGUUUGGCCUUGAAGCAAUGACGGGCAGCAAGUAUACUGAGUACUCAAACCUUAACUUCUAGUGUUCGAGUCGGGGUUUCCCUUUGCAGCCCUGGCUGUCUCGACUGUAGACCAGGCUGACCUCAAACUCAGAGAUCCACCUGCCUCUGCCUCCCGAGUGUUGAGAUUAAAGGCGUGUGCCACCUUGCCCAACAGCCUAAUAUUUUUUAAUAACAAGAAAGCAAGAAUGAAGGCUCCUUGGAGAGAGGGCUGCAUUUAGAACCAAGAUGGGAAAUAGACUAAAUAAAAAUGAAACAUUGUGGAGUGCAUGAAGUACAUAAUUCUGAAAACAAGGCUACAGUCAGGAGACUUCCCAGGAUAUACAGGACCCUGAUGCAGAGCUCCUGUACAAAGACGGUCAAAUUUGGGCAAUGAAAUAGAACAACAUUUCAGAUUAUUAUCCAAAAUGUAGAAUAAGCAUCCACAAGUCCAUACGAUGUAAGUAAAUUAUUUUUAAAAAUUAAUACAUGGGAGAGAAAAGACAAAUACCCUAUGCAAAAAUCUAAAUAGUUUACAUAGGGGAAGUAUGAAUCCUACCUCUUUAUAGACAUUUAUUCAUUUGUUUACUUAUUCAUUCAUUCAUUUGUGUGUGUGUAUGUGUGUGUGUGUGUGUGUGUGUGUGUGUGUGUGUAGGUCAGAGGACAACUUGCUAAAGUCAUUUUUCUUUUUCUACCUUAUGGGGCCUGGGGAUCAAAAAGCCAUGAGGCUUAUUAGCAAGAACCUUUAUCCACCUCAUUAUCUUGCUGGCCCAUAAACCCCUACUCUCUAAGUAUGGAUUUCAUAGAACCUUUCCCCAAAGAUACGGUAUCUAAAAACGAGCAGAGGAGAGUUCAGAUGAAACCCCAUCUCAGCCUGGUGAGCAAGGGCACUGCCAACAAUAAUAAGUCGUAUUGAUAUUAUGUGCCCUUCCUACCAUAUGAUGAAAGUGGAGUUUUAUCUUUGUGGUUUUUUCCAUUGUCCAUAUCUAAUCAUAAGAAAAACAUCCAACAUGCUAGUAGAGGCAUCCUACAAAACACUUGACCAGCGUCCUCAAAACCGUCAGGGUCGUCUGAAACAAGGAAAGUUAGAGGAAGUGGUACAGCCAAAAGCAGCCUGAGUGACAUGGCAGCCCAAUAGAGGGCAUCCUGGAUGGGAUCAUUGAACAGGAAAAGUCAGAAGAGAAACAUAAGCAGACUCAGUCGAUGAUAGCCACGGACAAUGCUGUUUAGAAACGUGCUGUUACUAAUUACCAAUAGUAGGGGAAGCGAGGUCCAGGGUCACUCUCUGGACCAUUUCCUCACUCUGCUGUUAAUGCAAAAUUAUUCUUAGAAAUAAAGCCUGUGACUCAGA